CCUACGGGUGGCAGCAGUGGGGAAUAUUGGACAAUGGGGGGAACCCUGAUCCAGCGACGCCGCGUGAGUGAAGAAGUAUUUCGGUAUGUAAAGCUCUAUCAGCAGGGAAGAAAAUGACGGUACCUGACUAAGAAGCCCCGGCUAACUACGUGCCAGCAGCCGCGGUAAUACGUAGGGGGCAAGCGUUAUCCGGAUUUACUGGGUGUAAAGGGAGCGUAGACGGUGCAGCAAGUCUGAUGUGAAAGGACGGGGCCCAACCCCGGGACUGCUUUGGAAACUGUUGAACUGGAGUGCAGGAGAGGUAAGCGGAAUUCCUAGUGUAGCGGUGAAAUGCGUAGAUAUUAGGAGGAACACCAGUGGCGAAGGCGGCUUACUGGACUGUAACUGACGUUGAGGCUCGAAAGCGUGGGGAGCAAACAGGAUUAGAUACCCCAGUAGUC
rnacentral:rRNA from 1 species